GUUCCGGAACGGUUCAGGUCAGUUAUCAGUUCCAUAAAGGUUCAGGUCAGUUAUCAGCUCCGUAAUGGUUCAGGUCAGUUAUCAGUUCCGUAAAGGUUCAGGUCAGUUAUCAGCUCCGUAAAGGUUCAGGUCAGUUAUCAGUUCCGUAAAGGUUCAGGUCAGUUAUCAGUUCCGUAAAGGUUCAGGUCAGUUCCGGAACGGUUCAGGUCAGUUCCGCAACGUUUCAGGUCAGUUAUCAGUUCCAUAAAGGUUCAGGUCAGUUAUCAGCUCCGUAACGGUUCAGGUCAGUUAUCAGUUCCGUAAAGGUUCAGGUCAGUUAUCAGCUCCGUAAAGGUUCAGGUCAGUUAUCAGUUCCGUAAAGGUUCAGGUCAGUUCCGCAACGUCUCAGGUCAGUUAUCAGUUCCGUAAAGGUUCAGGUCAGUUAUCAGUUCCGU